CCUACGGGAGGCAGCAGUGGGGAAUAUUGCACAAUGGGGGAAACCCUGAAGCAGCGACGCCGCGUGAGUGAAGACGUAUUUCGGUACGUAAAGCCCCAUCAGUCGGGAAGAAAAUGACGGUACCUGACUAAGACGCCGCGGCUAACUACGUGCAAGCAGCCGCGGCAAUACGUGGGGGGCAAGCGUUAUCCGGAUUUACUGGGUGUAAAGGGAGCGUAGACGGCAGCGCAAGUCUGGAGUGAAAUCCCAUGGCUUAACCAUGGAACUGCUUUGGAAACUGUGCAGCUAGAGUGAAGGAGAGGUAAGCGGAAUUCGUGGUGUAGCGGUGAAAUGCGUAGAUAUUAGGAGGAACACCAGUGGCGAAGGCGGCUUACUGGACUGUAACUGACGUUGAGGCUCGAAAGCGUGGGGAGCAAACAGGAUUAGAUACCCUUGUAGUC
rnacentral:rRNA from 1 species